rnacentral:rRNA from 1 species
AUACGGAGGGUGCAAGCGUUAAUCGGAAUUACUGGGCGUAAAGCGAGCGCAGGUGGUUUAUUAAGUCUGGUGUAAAAGGCAGAGGCUCAACCAUUGUAUGCAUUGGAAACUGGUAGACUUGAGUGCAGGAGAGGAGAGUGGAAUUCCAUGUGUAGCGGUGAAAUGCGUAGAUAUAUGGAGGAACACCGGUGGCGAAAGCGGCUCUCUGGCCUGUAACUGACACUGAGGCUCGAAAGCGUGGGGAGCAAACAGGAUUAGAUACCCUGGUAGUCCACGCCGUAAACGAUGAGUGCUAGAUGUAGGGAGCUAUAAGUUCUCUGUAUCGCAGCUAACGCAAUAAGCACUCCGCCUGGGGAGUACGACCGCAAGGUUGAA